rnacentral:piRNA from 1 species
UCUCACUGUCUGAGCUGAAGAAU